rnacentral:rRNA from 1 species
UACAGAGGUCCCGAGCGUUGUUCGGAUUCAUUGGGCGUAAAGGGUGCGCAGGUGGCGGGGUAAGUCUGAUGUGAAAUCCCGGGGCUCAACUCCGGAACUGCAUUGGAUACUGCUUCGCUUGAGUACUGGAGAGGAAACUGGAAUUUACGGUGUAGCAGUGAAAUGCGUAGAGAUCGUAAGGAAGACCAGUGGCGAAGGCGAGUUUCUGGACAGUUACUGACGCUGAGGCACGAAGGCCAGGGGAGCAAACGGG